rnacentral:rRNA from 1 species
GAUGAACGCUGGCGGCGUGCCUAACACAUGCAAGUCGAACGGAGUCCAGCCUUUAAGACCUUCGGGUCAAAGUGGGGAAGACUGAGUGGCGGACGGGUGAGUAACACGUGGGCAACCUGGCUCCUAGAGGGGGAUAACAGAGAGAAAUUUCUGCUAUUACCGCAUAAGCACACACUGCCGCAUGGCAGAGGGUGAAAAGAGAAUCGCUAUGAGAUGGACCCGCGUCUGAUUAGCCAGUUGGCAGGGUAAGAGCCUACCAAAGCGACGAUCAGUAGCCGAUCUGAGAGGAUGAACGGCCACAUUGGGACUGAGACACGGCCCAAACUCCUACGGGAGGCAGCAGUGGGGGAUAUUGCACAAUGGGGGGAAGCCUGAUGCAGCCACGCCGCGUGAAUGAAGAAGGAUUUCGGUAUGUAAAGCUCUAUCAGCAGGGAAGAUAAUGACAGUACCUGAAGAAGAAGCCCCGGCUAACUACGUG